GCACGUGGAGUUUUGAUCUCUGCGGGGCAGGUUCGAGGCCUGUUUUUUUAGGAG
rnacentral:tRNA from 1 species